CUGAAUGACACUUACAAUGUUGCAGGUCCUGAACUGUCCAAAUGGUUAGUACAAGAAUCAAAUCUGUGAUGGGAAAAGGGUGAAGCAUCACUUACCAAAACUGUAUCUAUUUGUAGGGUGAAAACUAGCAGACAUAUAGUUUUUUGGCUAUUCUAUUUAAUAAUGAAAAAAAAAAAAAGAGUUCGAUUAAAACUGCAAAGGCCUACUUUGGUGAACUAAAUAAAAUUACUCUGGCUGGGAACUAAACAAAAUACAACAAUUAAUCAUGUGAUUUUGACCUAAAGUUGCAAUACAUUUUAAUGAAAACAUUUCUGAGCCUCUGUUUUGAAUCCUGCACUCAGUAGGCCAAUCUAGAAUGACCACAGAAGUGGGCUCUAGUAGAGAAAAGAAGGGUUGUGAGUACCCAGAAUAGUCCAGUCUUACACUUUCCUUUAGACAAGUCUUUUAAAAGUCUAAUAUUCGGCCACCAGAUUUGAGUCACUUUUAUGGAAGGGUUAAUUUUAGGUUAGCUCUGGUCUGGUUGGGAAAGUUAAGUUGUUAAAUGGAUUGCUUGGUUUGCCCCAGGGCAGACAUGUUUCUAAUGUUUGAUUCUAACGUAAUCUGGCUUCCUUUCAGCAUUAUAGAAUGAAGAGGACCAGGGACAAGUCAGAUUCCCAGGGCCUCUGAGGAGCAGAACAAGAUCGCUUUGGCCAGACACAAUCAGGAUUGGUUAUGGAAUUAAGCCAGCUUCCAGAACUGGAGGUGAGACUUCCUGGAUGACUUUUUGCCUCUGGAUACAUUUACGGGGAGAAAGAGGUUGGACUUACAUCAUGCAAGAACCUGAGAUUAUGUGAGGUUAACUAAAAACUCAAUUUUCCAGGUAAUUUAUACUGAAUCUAUUCCUUGAGCCACAGAAGAAAAUAUAAUCUCUGAAAAUGUUAACUAUAACAUAAUGAUUAACAGGUGACACUCUGCCUCAACAAAAUAUUAUCAAAUCAAAUUCAACAGUACUUUAAAAAGAUCAUAUACCAGGGUCAGUGGGACUUAUUCCAGGUAUGCAAGAAAUGAUUCAGCUUGCUUAGAUCACUCACCAUGAUACAUCCCAUUACCAAAAUUAAGGCUAAAAAUCAUAUGAUCAUCUCAUUUUUAUAUACAAAAUAAAAGAAAAUGUAAGAAGUGGAUUUUAUGAAUA
rnacentral:lncRNA from 1 species